rnacentral:piRNA from 1 species
AUAGUGGGAAGACUUCUAGGUAG